AUUGAACGCUGGCGGCAGGCCUAACACAUGCAAGUCGAGCGGAGCACCGGUCGCGUGCGUAUUGCUAAUGAAUCUGCCUGGUAGUGGUGGAUGACGUUAGGAAAUGAGCGCUAAUACCGCAUCCUAUCACAUGAGCCUUGGCCGGAUUAGCUUGUUGGUGGGGUAAAGGCCUACCAAGGCGACGAACCGUAACUGGUCUGAGAGGAUGAUCAGACAAACUGGAACGGAGACACGGUACAGACUCCUAAGGGAGGCAGCAGUGGGGAAUAGUGGACAAUGGGCGAAAGCCUGAUCCAGCCAUGCCGCGUGUAUGAAGAAGGUCUUCGGGUUGUAAAGCACUUUAAGUUGGGAGGCGUUACCAGCAGAAUAAGCACCGGCUAACUUCGUGCCAGCAGCCGCGGUAAUAC
rnacentral:rRNA from 1 species